UACGUAGGGGGCAAGCGUUGUCCGGAAUUACUGGGCGUAAAGCGUGCGCAGGCGGUUUUGUAAGUCUGUCGUGAAAUCCCCGGGCUCAACCUGGGAAUUGCGAUGGAGACUGCAAGGCUAGAAUCUGGCAGAGGUGGGUAGAAUUCCACGUGUAGCAGUGAAAUGCGUAGAGAUGUGGAGGAACACCGAUGGCGAAGGCAGCCCCCUGGGUCAAGAUUGACGCUCAUGCACGAAAGCGUGGGGAGCAAACAGG
rnacentral:rRNA from 1 species